UUGACCUCGAAUCAGGUAGGAAUACCCGCUGAACUUAAGCAUAU
rnacentral:ncRNA from 17 species